rnacentral:rRNA from 1 species
GAGUUUGAUCAUGGCUCAGGAUGAACGCUAGCGGCAGGCUUAACACAUGCAAGUCGAGGGGUAUAGUUCUUCGGAACUAGAGACCGGCGCACGGGUGCGUAACGCGUAUGCAAUCUACCUUUUACAGAGGGAUAGCCCAGAGAAAUUUGGAUUAAUACCUCAUAGUAUUACGACCUGGCAUCAGGAUGUAAUUAAAGUCACAACGGUAAAAGAUGAGCAUGCGUCCCAUUAGCUAGUUGGUAAGGUAACGGCUUACCAAGGCAACGAUGGGUAGGGGUCCUGAGAGGGAGAUCCCCCACACUGGUACUGAGACACGGACCAGACUCCUACGGGAGGCAGCAGUGAGGAAUAUUGGACAAUGGGCGCAAGCCUGAUCCAGCCAUGCCGCGUGCAGGAUGACGGUCCUAUGGAUUGUAAACUGCUUUUGCACAGGAAGAAACACUCGGACGUGUCCGAGCUUGACGGUACUGUGAGAAUAAGGAUCGGCUAACUCCGUGCCAGCAGCCGCGGUAAUACGGAGGAUCCAAGCGUUAUCCGGAAUCAUUGGGUUUAAAGGGUCCGUAGGCGGUCAGAUAAGUCAGUGGUGAAAGCCCAUCGCUCAACGGUGGAACGGCCAUUGAUACUGUCUGACUUGAGUUAUUAGGAAGUAACUAGAAUAU